GAUUCAAAUCAUAGUGGCUAGUGCGUCCGCCUCGGAUGCGGGAGGUCGUGGGUUCGAUCCCCGAUCGAGUCA